rnacentral:rRNA from 1 species
UACGUAGGGGGCUAGCGUUGUCCGGAAUCAUUGGGCGUAAAGAGCGUGUAGGCGGUCCGGUAAGUCCGCUGUGAAAGUCGGGGGCUCAACCCUCGAAUGCCGGUGGAUACUGUCGGGCUAGAGUCCGGAAGAGGCAAGUGGAAUUCCUGGUGUAGCGGUGAAAUGCGCAGAUAUCAGGAGGAACACCGAUGGCGAAGGCAGCUUGCUGGGACGGUACUGACGCUGAGACGCGAAAGCGUGGGUAGCAAACAGG